rnacentral:rRNA from 1 species
UACACACCGCCCGUCACACCAUGGGAGUUGAUUGCACCAGAAGUAGGUAGCCUAACCGCAAGGGGGGGCGCUUACCACGGUGUGGUCAAUGACUGGGGUG